UACGUAGGGUGCAAGCAGUUAAUCGGAAUUACUGGGCGUAAAGCGUGCGCAGGCGGUGAUGUAAGACAGAUGUGAAAUCCCCGGGCUCAACCUGGGAACUGCAUUUGUGACUGCAUCGCUGGAGUGCGGCAGAGGGGGAUGGAAUUCCGCGUGUAGCAGUGAAGUGCGUAGAUAUGCGGAGGAACACCGAUGGCGAAGGCAAUCCCUGGGCCUGCACUGACGCUCGAUGACACGAAAGCGUGGGGAGCAAACAGG
rnacentral:rRNA from 1 species